GGCUUCGUAGCUCAGUUGGCAAGAGCGUUGGCUUUACUAAUGCCCUCCCCUUGAUUGAGUGGGUUCGAAUCCCACCGAGGGCG
rnacentral:tRNA from 1 species